CAGCCGCCGCGGUAAUACGAAGGGUGCAAGCGUUAAUCGGAAUUACUGGGCGUAAAGCGUGCGUAGGCGGUUUGUUAAGUCUGUUGUGAAAUCCCCGGGCUCAACCUGGGAAUGGCAAUGGAUACUGGCAAGCUAGAGUGUGUCAGAGGAUGGUGGAAUUCCCGGUGUAGCGGUGAAAUGCGUAGAGAUCGGGAGGAACAUCAGUGGCGGAGGCGGCCAUCUGGGACAACACUGACGCUGAGGCACGAAAGCGUGGGGAGCAAACAGGAUUAGAUACCCGCGUAGUCCCUGUCUCUUAUAC
rnacentral:rRNA from 1 species